GUGGGGAGCAGGAUUGUCCCUGAAGCCUGAGGAGUGAACCUGAGUGUUUAGAGGGCCUCUGGAAAUCCAUAAUCGCUCCUCCAGCAAAAUCUGCUGGGGGUCCUGUUUUUACCUUCCUAUGGAUAUAUAUUUUUUAAUCCUAGGCAGGGACAGUGCCCAGAGCUCUGAUGUGUCUCUCCAAGACUGUGAAGCGUGAAGACAGCUGCCAGGCAUGGAUGGAGUGACAGUCACUGUGUACAGAUCUCUCCUGUGACAUCUAGGGCCCCUCAGUUCACUCUCAGCAAUGGUGUCUGAUGUUCCCUAUGAUCCUUUGGACUCAAUGUGAAGCUCAGCCCAGCCCCGUCCUGCACACCAGGACCCUGUCCCUGCACUGCCUGUGUGCCCUUCCAUGGCCAACUUUCCUGUUCCAGCAGACAGGAGGGGACAUCUCCAUCCUGUCACCUCCAUGCUGCCCUGAGCUGCACCUCUGACAUCCCCACUGAAAAUAAGGAUCUUGAUUUGAACUUGAUUGUUCUCAUCCUUGAUUCGACAGGUUGAUUAGCUGUUAAAUUAAUUAUUGAGAUACUUAGAGGUUGUGGAAGAAAUGAAUGGCAGCGUGGAGAACCUCCCAGAAUCUGUGUUCAGUGGGCUGUGUGUCUUCUGUGAAAAGAUGAGAUUGUAGAAGCUGAGUGAGAACAGGGCUGUGCCCAGGUGGAGCUCAGUCCAUUGUCGAGUGUGACAUGGUCACUCCUCAGCUCUGUCACCUCCUGGCUCUGUUCUCUUCAUCACUUAGAACCACAUGCUGAGAUCUGUGCUCACAGGGACUAUAGGAUGGUCAGAGCUGAGUCCUGGCCCAGGAUUUUGAGCAUCCAGGACAGCCAGGACGGGUCAACCUGGGCUCUGACCUGACUAUACCUCUUUACCCCAUAUUUGCUCUUUAUUGUUGACUUUUUAGUUUGUAUGGAGGACUAGGCCCAUUUAUAUUCCUUUAAGUGGACUCUGCUUCCUUAUCCCUUGUGCCUCCUGAGUGACAGCAUUAAAAGUUGUUUUUCCA